UACGGGGGGGGCAAGCGUUGUUCGGAAUUACUGGGCGUAAAGGGCGCGUAGGCGGCCUGCUAAGUCGGAUGUGAAGUCCCUCGGCUCAACCGAGGAACUGCAUCCGAUACUGGCGGGCUCGAAUCCGGGAGAGGGAUGUGGAAUUCCAGGUGUAGCGGUGAAAUGCGUAGAUAUCUGGAGGAACACCGGUGGCGAAGGCGGCAUCCUGGACCGGUAUUGACGCUGAGGCGCGAAAGCUAGGGGAGCAAACGGG
rnacentral:rRNA from 1 species